UAACCUGCCCCCUGCUGGGGAACAACUCCGCGAAAGCGGGGCUAAUACCGCAUAGUUUCGCUUAUCAUAAGAUGAGUGAAUAAAGCUAUGGACAUUGCAGUGUGCAAGAGUGCUUAGAAGCAAUGAAAAUAAACAAGUAGAUGAUAAUUUUCAUUGUCUUAUAGAGCAUUCUUGUAUAGUGUAAUGUCCAUGGCGGAAGGGGAGGGGCCUAUGGCCUAUCAGCUUGUUGGUGAGGUAAAAGCUUACCAAGGCAAUGACGGGUAGCGGGUGUGAGAGCACGACCCGCCUCACUGGGACUGAGACACUGCCCAGACUCCUACGGGAGGCUGCAGUCAUGAAUAUUCCACAAUGGCCGAAAGGCUGAUGGAGCAAUGCCGCGUGAUCGAAGAAGCUUUUCGGAGUGUAAAGAUCUUUUCUGUGGGAAGAAUGCGUGACGGUACCACAGGAAUAAGAGGUUGCUAACUCUGUGCCAGCAGCAGCGGUAAUACAGAGACCUCAAGCGUUAUCCGGAUUUAUUGGGCGUAAAGCGUCCGUAGGCGGUUUGAUACGUUACUGGUUAAAUCUUUGGGCUCAACCCAAAGACCGCCGGUAAUACGGUCAAACUUGAGGCCGGGAGAGGUAAGCGGAAUUGCCGGUGUAGUAGUAAAAUGCGUUGAUAUCGGCAGGAACACCAAAUGCGAAAGCAGCUUACUGGAACGGUUCUGACGCUCAGGGACGAAAGCGUGGGUAGCGAAUGGGAUUAGAUACCCCAGUAGUCCACGCCGUAAACGAUGGAUACUAGGCAUUGGAAGUAUCGACCCUUUCAGUGUCGUUUACUCAAGGUAACCCCUUAAGUAUCCCGCCUGGGGAGUACGAGCGCAAGCUUAAAACUCAAAGGAAUUGACG
rnacentral:rRNA from 1 species